rnacentral:rRNA from 1 species
CCUACGGGAGGCAGCAGUCGGGAAUAUUGCUCAAUGGGGGAAACCCUGAAGCAGCAACGCCGUGGAGGAUGAAGGUUUUCGGCUUGUAAACUCCUUUUGUUAUAGAAGAUAAUGACGGUAUCUACCGACUCAGCCCCGGCUAACUCCGUGCCAGCAGCCGCGGUACUACGGAGGGUGCAAGCGUUACUCGGAAUCCCUGGGCGUAAAGAGCGCCUAGGCGGGAUAGCAAGUCAGAUGUGAAAUCCUAUGGCUUAACCAGAGAAGUGCAUUUGAAACUGUUAUUCUAGAGUAUGGGAGAGGUAGGUGGAAUUCUUGGUGUAGGGGUAAAAUCCGUAGAGAUCAAGAGGAAUACUCAUUGCGAAGGCGACCAGCUAGAACAUAACUGACGCUGAUGCGCGAAAGCGUGGGGAGCAAACAGGAUUAGAUACCCCUGUAGUC